rnacentral:rRNA from 1 species
CCUACGGGUGGCAGCAGUGAGGAAUAUUGGUCAAUGGGCGAAAGCCUGAACCAGCCAAGUCGCGUGAGGGAGUACUGCCCUAUGGGUUGUAAACCUCUUUUGUCGGGGAGCAAAAGCCGGACGUGUCCGGCUGUGAGAGUACCCGUAGAAAAAGCAUCGGCUAACUCCGUGCCAGCCGCCGCGGUAAUACGGAGGAUGCGAGCGUUAUCCGGAUUUAUUGGGUUUAAAGGGUGCGCAGGCGGAUUUUUAAGUCCGCGUUAAAAUCUUGGGGCUCAACCCCAGCCCGCCGUUGAUACUGGCGAUCUAGAGUGAGCGAGAGGUAUGCGGAAUGCGUGGUGUAGCGGUGAAAUGCAUAGAUA